rnacentral:rRNA from 1 species
AUACGGAGGGGGCUAGCGUUGUUCGGAAUUACUGGGCGUAAAGCGCGCGUAGGCGGGCUGGUUAGUUGGGGGUGAAAUCCCAGGGCUUAACCCUGGAACUGCCUCCAAUACUGCCAGUCUAGAGUUCGAGAGAGGUGAGUGGAAUUCCUAGUGUAGAGGUGAAAUUCGUAGAUAUUAGGAAGAACACCAGUGGCGAAGGCGGCUCACUGGCUCGAUACUGACGCUGAGGUGCGAAAGCGUGGGGAGCAAACAGGAUUAGAAACCCCAGUAGUCC